GCCUCCUGCAGGCAGAGACAGGGCUGAGCUUGAAGGUCUGUCUGUAGGGAGAGCCUGUUUCAAAAUGGAAGGAGAUAGGAGCGAAUGCUUGUAAUCCCAGUUCUCAGGAAACUAAGAUCUAAGAGGAGGACGGUGCCAUCCUUACAGCAGACAAGCCUUGGAAAUGCGCUCCAGCGUCCGCAGCUUUGAAACCCGGGCUGCUUACUUCUUAGUCACUCAACACUCCCGGCUCAGUUCUGCGAUGAAGGGCGUUAAACCCCCAAAGACGCCAGGCAACUCCUGCAAUGGUGACCCGUGUUUGCCCAAGGCAGCUUUUGGCCUGACAUCUUUCCCCCUACCCAAAUCCCGGUACUCCCAGGGGAAGACAUCGCUAUUUGGGAGAGAGUUUCCACUGCUCUGAGAAUUACACGUUUUGGGGAGUAGUCCUCUUAGUGUGCCUUACAGAGCCUCGGAACUCUGGUGGACUUUGUUCUCUCUGUGUUGAAGCCUCUGGGGAAGUUGAAAGAGUUAUGAUUUAUCAUUUGGCAAGGGACACUCGGAAACAGCUAACUCGAAGGUCACAGGGACCAGCUCUAGUUUUAAAUUCAGCCUCAGGAGGGUAGUUUUAUAGAGAGGGUACACGAAGCUUUCUGGGAAAACGUUAUGGUUUUGUAACAUUAGGAAUCUAGAAGUGAUUGAUCAUCUAUUACAGUGUCAUGUGGAUGCUUCUUGGUGCAAAAAUGAAUUAAAACAUAACAUGGUUAAACUGGG
rnacentral:lncRNA from 1 species